AUUGAACGCUGGCGGCAUGCCUUACACAUGCAAGUCGAACGGCAGCAUGGGUGCUUGCUCUGGGGAUUAGUGGCGAACGGGUGAGUAACACGUGGGCAACCUGCCCCAGACACCGGGAUAACCAUUCGAAAGGAUGGCUAAUACCGGAUACGACCACUUCGGGCAUCCGAUGGUGGUGGAAAGGAUUCUGGUCUGGGAUGGGCCCGCGGCCUAUCAGCUUGUUGGUGGGGUAAUGGCCUACCAAGGCGACGACGGGUAGCCGGCCUGAGAGGGCGACCGGCCACACUGGGACUGAGACACGGCCCAGACUCCUACGGGAGGCAGCAGUGGGGAAUAUUGCGCAAUGGGCGAAAGCCUGACGCAGCGACGCCGCGUGAGGGACGAAGGUCUUCGGAUUGUAAACCUCUUUCAGCAGGGAUGAAGCGAAAGUGACAGUACCUGCAGAAGAAGCACCGGCUAACUACGUGCCAGCAGCCGCCGUAAGAC
rnacentral:rRNA from 1 species